rnacentral:rRNA from 1 species
ACAAAAACAUCACCUCUAGCAUUACAAGUAUUAGAGGCACUGCCUGCCCAGUGACACACGUUAAACGGCCGCGGUAUCCUGACCGUGCAAAGGUAGCAUAAUCACUUGUUCCUUAAUUAGGGACUUGCAUGAAAGGCAAGACGAGGGUUUAACUGUCUCUUACUUCCAAUCAGUGAAAUUGACCUACCCGUGAAGAGGCGGGUAUAAAUAAAUAAGACGAGAAGACCCUGUGGAGCUUUAAUUAACUCUCCUAUCUACUAAGACUAAUAUCCUACUGGAUCAACAAACACAUAGAACUAGGAGAAAAAUUUCGGUUGGGGUGACCUCGGAGCAUAAAAAACCCUCCGAAUGACUUAACUUUAAGCCCACCAGCCUAAAGGUGCUCAAGCAGUCAGCAAUUGAUCCAAUAAUAAAUUGAUCAACGGACCAAGUUACCCCAGGGAUAACAGCGCAAUCCUAUUUAAGAGUCCCUAUCGACAAUAGGGUUUACGACCUCGAUGUUGGAUCAGGACACCCAAAUGGUGCAACCGCUAUUAAUGGUUCGUUUGUUCAACGAUUAAAGUCCUACGUGAUCUGA